ACUCAUAGAGACUCACAGAAAACCAUAUAAGCCACAGACUACAGAACAAAUGACAAUCUGAGUUGGGAGGGUUCUUUGUUAAAAUCGGUAGAAUCAGGGACUUCCCUGGUGGUCCAAUACUUAGGACUCUGUGUUUUCACUGCAGGGGCAUGGGUUCGAUCCCUGGUCAGGGAAGUAAGAUCCCACAUGCUGCUAGGUGAGGGCAAAAUCAGCAGAAGAUUUGCCACUAAACUAAUGGCACUUGUGAAGCUCCUAUGAAUGCUGGGUGUGGCAUGGCUAGAUAGAGCUUUCUGGUUGGAAAAAAGUUGUAUUUCUAUAUAAGCAGUUGUGAUGAAUGACAAAUUGCCUAAAAGAGAACUCAGAAGGGACUAACUCCAAGGCUAAAGUAACUUGCUAUAAAUUGCUUUAAAAAAUUUUUUUAAUAAAUAUUUGUUUUCAUGCCUAAUUGUAUAUUCCCUAAAAGAAAGCCCCCAGAAUUAUAUAAUCUUCAAGCUUCCUUCAACACACACACACACACAUAUAUAUCUGAACCUUAUUGCAUAGUUUAGAAAAUAUUUAAUAAGCAGAUCUCGUUUUCUAUCAUUUAAAGAAAGGUUACAAGGAAACAGGAUUUCAUUUUCAUUAUGGGAAGAGGCUUGGUUCUGAAUUACCAGUAUUUCUGGUUUCAGAAAGCAAGCAAGUCAAAGUGGGAAAAUACUGUGCAUUCUGGCUGUCACUAAAUAUUGUCUGUCACUUUAAAUCAAAAUCUUCCUAGGAGAAAUGCCCCUCAUUUGUAGCUUUCUCCUCUCCUGUCCAUUGGUGCGCCUAAGGCAGGAGCAAAUCCCACUGUGAGCCAAUCCUCCUAGGGACCAAAAUGGCUCAGAUCUUUUCUUACUGAAAUGGGCAAGAGCAGAAACUAAGGCACCGAAAAUCCUACAGCUAAGCAUUACAUACCAAAUUAUGUCUUUAUUUACCCUGCAGUAAGCUGAUAUGUAGAACACAGUCAUAUCUGACUUUUUGUAACCCCAUGAACUGCAGCACGCCAGGCUUCCCUGUCCUCCACUAUCUAAUGGAGUUUGCUCAAAUUCAUGUCCAUUGAGUCAGGUGAUGCUGUCCAACCAUCUUAUCCUAUCGCUCCCUUCUCCUCCUGCUCUCAAUUUUUCCCAGCAUCAGGCUCUUUUCCAAU
rnacentral:tRNA from 1 species